GACGAACGCUGGCGGCGUGCUUAACACAUGCAAGUCGAACGGAACGGCCCUGCUUUUGCGGGGUGCUCGAGUGGCGAACGGGUGUGUAACACGUGAGUAACCUGCCCUUGACUUUGGGAUAACACAAGGAAACUGGGGUUCUUACAGCGUAGGAGCUCCCGCUGCAGGGUGGGGGUUGGAAAGUAGCGGUUGUUCGGGAUGGACUGGAGGCUCAUCCGCUUGUUGGGGGGGUAGGGGCAUACCAAGGCAUGGACGGGUAGCCGGCCUGGGAGGGUGACCGGCCACAUUGGGACUGAGAUACGGCCCAGACUCCUACGGGAGGCAGCGGAGGGGAAGAGUGCACAACGGGCGGAAGCCUGAUGCAGCAACGCCGCGUGCGGGAGGACGGCCUGCGGGUUGUAAACCGCUUUCGCCUGUGACGAGGCGUGAGUGACGGUAAUGGGUAAAGAAGCACCGGCUAACUACGUG
rnacentral:rRNA from 1 species